ensembl:lncRNA uncharacterized LOC114445548
GUCGGCUGGAGCUAGGCCUGGGAGACCUGCCGCUGAUUAGGGGCCUCCGAGCCUGGGCCCUUUGUUCCAAGAGCCGCAGAAAGGCCGGCAGCCUGCUGGGAGGAGGACAAGCCCCCACAGCUCCCCCUGUAGGCCGUGGGAGUUCCACGUCUUGCCCCAGGCCUGCAGAUGUGUACCUGAGUGAAGAGUGGGGACGCAUGGGGUAUGGGCUCCCCCUGGGACUGGAUGCCAGGCAGGCUGGGAUCGGAGCUCUGGUGACGGUUGCCACUCUGAAGACGUCAGAGGGCAGCGGGAAGACGCAGACUCAGUGUCUCUUCCUCCGGACCGAGAAAGGAAGCUGCUUGUACUCGACUUCUAAGCCCAGUUCUGGUGUGACGACCAGCACGGCCUCCAGUGUGGUUGGGGGAUGGCUGAGAGGCAAGACGGGAGGAGGCAGAGACGCUCCAGCUGGGAGGAGAGACAGUGGGCCGACCCCGCCGGCACAGACUGGAGCAAACCGGGUUAGAGUACGAUCAGGCCGGAGAUGGAGGAAGUCUGGCAACACAGCAGGCCUGGAGAAAACAGGCGUGAGCAGAGAGAGGCAGCAGAGGAGCAGGGAGGAUCCCGCUGUGGAAGAAAGGCAGGAAGAGCAAGACAAAGGAGGCCUGGACUAUAAACACUUUCCCAGCCCGCAGCAGGACAGCAGGAGGGUGAGAUGCUGUCACAACGCUUCCCCUAAAAGCUGCACUCAGUGUGGAAGUAGAGCGCAGAGAAAGGAGAGCCAGGAUGACCAGGAGGGAGGUGAAAGUCCACAAAGAGGACUGACCGGCGAGGCGAAGGGAAUGAAGGAGGAGAAGGGACGCCUCUGCAAGUCUCCUGACCUAGAAUCCAACCACAGAGACGGCUGUGAAGUCGAAGACAUGAGAGAGGCCGAGAGCAACGAGGGGCUGCAAACGCAAACCUCCCACAGCGAGGACGGUGAGGAUGUGAAAACAGAUACAGGAAGCAAUGAUUUCAUUCAUUCUGAACUGUCUGACGACUUCAAAUCAGGACACAACACUGUUCAUGUCAGAAACGUGGGUGAAGAAGUAGCAGCUAGUGUAAAUGGAUUCUCUGAGAUGGAAGACGAGGAAAAAUUCUUGGUUCCAUCCAGCUGCUGUGAGGACAGUACCCCUGAGACCUCCCUUCCUGUAGGGGGCAAUAUUGCUGACCAUGAGCCUGAACACCUUGGGAAAGAAGCCGACCCCGGGGUCAUGGUCAGCAAACUCAUUCUCCAAGACGAGGACAACACUGUGAAUGAGAACACUUUGUUUAAAAAUGAGGAGCUGCAGCGGGAAGAGGAAGAAUCUUCACCUCUCAGACACAGAGAUCCUUCUGAGGCUGACGGAGGGAACAACUGCAGGACAGCAGAGUCUGAGCAGAGCGAUGAGGAGGAGAAAACAGAGGAGAGACUGAAUCCUGAGCUACAGGAUGAAGCUGGAGAUGGUCAAGGUGAGGUCAGUUAUGCUUCUAAAGAUGGACGUAGGUUAGAGGACGAUGGACAAACGAGCAUCACCCAUGUUGAACCUGACGUCGCUGACAUCGCCUGCGCUGGUCCCUCCACCUCUUUUGCACUGGCUAAUCCUGCCCCUUCUCUGCCCCCCCUGGGAUCCAUGGCAACCGGCCUGCCCUGCCUGGAGGCGGAGAAGGAGAGUGAGGCGACAGCAGGAGACCAAGAAGAAGGAGGCCAGCCGGGGAAAAGGAGAAACAGGAGAGAGCUGGAGGAGCAGGGGGAGGAGGAGAGGAGCUCCACCGUGGCCACUGAGGACAGGAGAGAGGAGGAGGUGGAGGAGGAGGAGGAGGAGGAGGAUGAGUUUGGAGUCUUUAUGCAGGCGGAAGGAGAGCCGGCCUGGAGCGAGGAGUUCACCAUGUCUGCCUCAGUGCCUUGUGGGAGCAGAGAGAGUGUUGCACUUGGAAACCACGCCAUCACCAGUGAGUCGGCCAGCUGCGCACCAGCCUGGACGGACAACCCUUUCCACCAACCAGACGACGCCUGGGCCGCCUUUCCUCAGGAUUCGUUGGAUGAAGGUCGAGACGUGGCGGAGCAGUGGUGGCCGAACAGCGCUGUGGAGGAGCGGCGAGACAGACUGUCGUCCAAUCAGAAUCUGGCGGCCAUCUUUGCAGAGGCCUUCCCCCCGCUGCCUGCUUCGCCCUCCAGUGACCCCUGCGACCUCAGUACUGUUCCCACACUGACCCAGCUCCUCAGAGGCACAGCCAGCCAGGAUCAGGGGCUUCUGGACAGUUUCCAUGACUUGAACAAAAUGAUUGGCCAGAGGUACAAGCGAGCUAACGGGGUGUCACGUGACCUGCUGCUGAAGACUCUACACCUGGAGCAGCCUGAAAGCAGACCUGCUCCCUGGACAUCCAACCGCCGCCUCUCCCCCGGGCUCCCCUCGGCCAAUCAGCAUGCUCAGAACGCUGCCGCUAAACGACGGCUCUCGUACGACUACAACAGAAACAUCAUGGAGUGACUGGUUGGAGUCUCACUGGUCAGCGCUGGCCUGGAGGAACUGCAGGUUUUAACAUGUUUCUGAAGACACUGACUGACCCUCUGCAUCACACGCCUGGUGGUUUGAGGCUGAGGAGACGUGACUCAUUAAAAACAGAGCGCCUCACUUCAGUUUCAGAUGCUUGUGUCCCGUUAACUGGUGGGGUGUUUUUUUUUAAGUUCACAUGUUCACCACCUUGUUCACCAAUGUCCCAUUCUGAGUUUCUCUAACAACCACGUGUGGUCAGAGGAUGGAGUUACAAGGUCCUCGCCGCCAUGUGUGAGGCGGUUUUUCUUGAGAUAAGAAUGAAUGCAGCUCGUCACGCUCUUUGUCCUGUUCACAGACACGCUAACAUCCACAGACACAGGAGAGUAGUUUGCUGUAUCUAGUAAAGAUGUUGCACCAGAAUUAAGAAAAAAAAAAAGAUUCAGCUGGAUUUAUUUAUUUUAAUCCAGCUAUAUUAUAUUGCAACAGCCUGGGGAGAUGCAGUGUGAAGCUUCUACUUCUCAUUGAAAUGAAGCAUUCGGUUCCAGCAUUGGACUUUUUUAGCUUCUGUAGAUGUAGAUCGGAUUUUCAAUCCCUCAAAUGAACAGAUAUGAUGAAUAUCAUAAUGAUCGAAUAUUUAAGGUUUAAAAUAUACAUAUAUUUUGAAUUAUGAUGGAGGUAUUUGCCUGUUUUACCUCACAAAGAAGCCCGUUUAAAGCUUCAAUCACCUGUCCACAGGAAUUCAUGAUAAUGAUGUUACCGCGGCUGACCUGAAUCCUGCUUUAGGACCUGAGUGGAGCCUCUGCUUCAGUAAAACCUGCAGGAUUGUAGAGGCGAAGGUGGUGAACAGGUUAUUGAUCCCUUUUUUACAGCAUUUCCUGCAGACUGGGGUGUCCACGUGAAUAAUUAGAGUCAAUUCUGGGUGAGUGUGUGAGUCAGAAUAAAAACUAAACAAAAUAUCCUUAUUGGUGUGUG